AGCAGCCGCGGUAAUUCCAGCUCCAAUAGCGUAUAUUAAAGUUGUUGCAGUUAAAAAGCUCGUAGUUGAAUUUCGGGAUCAAUAUAUCGGUCGUGCCUUGGUACGUACUGGUAUCAUUGGUUUCUCCUUUCUGACGAACCAUGAUGUCAUUAAUUUGGUGUUAUGGGAAGUUAGGACUGUUACUUUGAAAAAUUAGAGUGUUUAAAGCAGGCUUUAGCUUGAAUACAUUAGCAUGGAAUAACGAAAUAGGACGUUUGAUUUUAUUUUGUUGGUUUCUAGGAUCGACGUAAUGAUUAAUAGGGAUAGUUGGGGGCAUUAGUAUUCAAUUGUCAGAGGUGAAAUUCUUGGAUUUAUUGAAGACUAACUACUGCGAAAGCAUUUGCCAAGGAUGUUUUCAUUAAUCAAGAACGAAAGUUAGGGGAUCGAAGACGAUCAGAUACCGUCGUAGUC
rnacentral:rRNA from 1 species